rnacentral:lncRNA from 1 species
ACAAGAAGAGUCUUCAGCUGAUGAAAAGAUGCAGGAAUCCAACCCGUCUUCUGAACUUUCCGAGCGUAGAAAGGCGUUAUUUGAACCAUUGGAACCGGUUACGAAUACGAAUGGGCGAAGGCCAUUAGCUGAAUCUUUGCUCCCUCCACCUGACUUUGACGCUGCAUGUUACCCCAAAGGUUGGCUUGCUGGGAAGAAACGGAAGCUUGUAAAUGUGGAUGUUGUUGAAAGUAUGCGAAGAAUCGCUCUGCAGGAAAUGAACAGAAAGGUGCUGCUUUCAAAAUGACCAUUUUCUCUCGCAAAUGGGCGAAGGCCGUUAGCUGAAUCUUUGCUCCCUCCACCAGACUUUGACGCUGCAUGUUACCCCAAAGGUUGGCUUGCUGGAAAGAAACGGAAGCUUGUAAAUGUGGAUGUUGUUGAAAGUAUGCGAAGAAUCGCUCUACAGGAAAUGAACAGAAAGGUGCUGCUUUCAAAAUGACCAUUUUCUCUCCAAUCUGCAUGUUCUGUUUUUCGCAAUCCCUUUUAUAUGUGUUUAAGUUUUCGUCUUGCCCAGUUUAUGCUCAAUGGAAACACUAAGCAUGUGUGAUAGUGCUG